UAAAUCAUAAAUCCUGAAUCCUAUUUCAAUGGUUUUUUACACCCCCUACCCCAAUUCUUCAUACUUAUUUACAAAAAAUGCCAUCCAAAUUUCUACUAUUGUAUAAGUUUUCCAUCCUGCAGCUUUCCAAAACAUGCUAACUUUCCCUUUUUGUUGAGUUUGGACUGUCUGCAGCACGUGAUACUGUCAAACCCGAUUCUGAUAAUCAAACUCAUCCCUCUCUGUUUUGCUAUGGCUUCAUUUGGCAAUAAAACAAAAAAAAAUCGCUUCAAAGUACUGAAGCUUUCCUUUGUUGUGAUUCUUGGCAGCCGGCUCACAGUUUGACCAUGAUUUUGAAUUCAAAACAUAUUUUGAUUUCAAUUUCAAUUUCAAAAUUUCAAAACAACAGCAGAGAACACAUCUUCACCCCUAUGAAAGAGGAUAAUUAUCAUCACCUGAAUCUUGACAGCUUUCCAUCAUUAAGCGACGAUGGUUCUGGUUCCUCUGGGAAACAAAGAAGGCGGGUGGUUCAAACCAAUAAAGAGAAUACUCUACCAGCUCAUGGUCAACAUCUUAGCAGCGGGUCUCCCAUGGUUCGAGCUCACCAGCUCCGUUUCUUACAAAGACUUAUGAGAUGAUUCAAGAUCCGGUGACUGACUCUGUGCUCUCCUGGAGUCACACAGGCUGCAUAUUUGUGGUCAAUCCUCCGGAGUUUGCUAAGGAUUUGCUUCCAACUUACUUCAAGCACAACAAUUUCUCCAGCUUUGUCAGGCAACUGAAUACUUAUGUAAGCACAUUAGUCUUUUAUAUUUUCGUGUAUUUUACUUUUAUUUGUAUGAGUACAAGGGCGACGGGUGAGAGAAGAAUCCUGGCAUUCGAGCUUAAGAUAUAUAUAUUUUGUGGUUACUGGUAUAAGCUCUGUAGUAGUAGGGGAGACUUCAAGUGACAUUUUUAUUUAUAAAACCAAUAUUUGAAUUGUGAGAAAGAAAUUUAGAAAUGCAGCCAUCACCAUUAGUCAUAACAGAGAUAAAUGCUUCAUCACCACUUCAAUGAGAAACAGUGAUAAGAAAUUCUGCUAUUCAUAUGAUUAUUUAGGUGUCUGCAUCUCAACAAUCAAUGUCUCGCGCACACCACUUCAAUGAGAAACAGUGAAAGCACAUCAGGCAGUAGGCUCUGUGCUCAAUAGGAUAUUGCAGAAUGGGUCGAUGUUUUUCCAGAAUCAACAGGCCUCUGUCAAUACCAAAUCGCAUCUCACCUCUUUAACAAAUGAGAGCUCUGUGUUAAAUUUCUCCACGACAACAAAUGGUGGUGAAACUUCAUUAGAUACCAUGGUAGGAGGAAAAUGAGAUAAUUAAGGUAUUUUGCAGGAAACUAUUAACAAUUAUUUGCAUAAUAGCAUGAUCUCCCAUUAUCUUGCUUAUCUGACAAGCAAUGAACAUUGAUGACUUGCUGCUUCAAAAUUUGUUGAGUUCUUUUUGCAAAUAAAGAAAUAAAAAAAAUGUGAAAUUCUAAAUUUCAGAAGGAUGGUACAAGAGAUCAAAGGGUACAAGUGAAUAGGAGUGUAGUUCUGGAGCAUAUUUAUAUUCAGAUUAUAUGUCAAGGCCUACAGGGAAAGGGUUGUUCAAAUUUUGGUGAAAGAAUCUGAGUCACUGAUUUAAAUUAGUGGAGUCUUAGGCCAAGUAUUAAAGUGUGUGUAAUUUUAGUGAUUUGUGUUUAUAUUCAUGUGUAAAUGUAAAGACACGGGAAUUCUGGAUGUUUUCCUACUGAUCUCAAAACUCAGCAGAAUGUCAAAACUGUUUUCGAUACUGCUAUCAAGGCUGUACUUCAACCUCUAAGGAGGAAGGAAAUUGCAAGGAAGACCAGACCUAGAAGCUCUGGUUGCUCAAUUGUCCAGAGUAUGGUAUGCGGAGGUUCUUUCUCUAGGCUAUGACUAUUAUGGUGAUAUGUGG